rnacentral:rRNA from 1 species
UACGAAGGGAGCUAGCGUUGUUCGGAAUUACUGGGCGUAAAGGGCGCGUAGGCGGCCCUGUAAGUCAGAUGUGAAAGCCCUGGGCUCAACCUGGGAACUGCAUUUGAUACUGCGGGGCUAGAGAUCGAGAGAGGAAAGUGGAAUUACGAGUGUAGAAGUGAAAUUCGUAGAUAUUCGUAGGAACACCGGUGGCGAAGGCGACUUUCUGGCUCGAUACUGACGCUAAAGCGCGAAAGCGUGGGGAGCAAACAGG